rnacentral:rRNA from 1 species
CCCUUAGAUGUCCUGGGCCGCACGCGCGCUACACUGAUACAAUCAACAAGCACCCAACCUUGGUCGAGAGGCCUGGGUAAUCUUGUGAAACUGUAUCGUGAUGGGGAUAGAUGCUUGUAAUUUUUCAUCUUCAACGAGGAAUUCCUAGUAAACGCGAGUCAUCAGCUCGCAUUGAUUACGUCCCUGCCCUUUGUACACACCGCCCGUCGCACCUACCGAUUGAAUGGUCCGGUGAAAUCUCCGGACUGGCGUGAGUCGGAGCAAUCUGACAAACGCCGGAAAGUUGAUUAAACCUUACCAUUUAGAGGAAGGUGAAGUCGUAACA